rnacentral:rRNA from 1 species
UAGUAGCGGCGAGCGAACCGGGAAGAGCUCAAAUUUAAAAUCUGGCGUCUUUCAGGCGUCCGAGUUGUAAUCUACAGAAGUGUUUUCCGUGCCGGACCGUGUCCAAGUCCCUUGGAAUAGGGUAUCAAAGAGGGUGACAAUCCCGUACUUGACACGACAACCGGUGCUCUGUGAUACAUUUUCUACGAGUCGAGUUGUUUGGGAAUGCAGCUCAAAAUGGGUGGUAAAUUCCAUCUAAAGCUAAAUAUAGGCGAGAGACCGAUAGCGAACAAGUACCGUGAUGGAAAGAUGAAAAGAACUUUGAAAAGAGAGUUAAACAGUACGUGAAAUUGCCAAAAGGGAAGGGUAGGAGGUCAGAGAUGCGUCGCAGGAUUCAGCCUUGCUUUUGCUUGGUGUUUUUCCUGCGUUGCAGGCCAACGUCGGUUUUGGGCACUGGAGAAGGGUAGGAGGAACGUGGCACCUCUCGGGGUGUGUUAUAGCCUCCUACUGGAUACAGCGACCGAGACCGAGGAACGCAGCGUACUCGUAAGAGCGGGCCUUUUGGCACCUUUACGCUUAGGGCGUUGGCAUAAUGGCCCUCUACCACCCGUCUUGA